GAUGAACGCUGGCGGCGUGCCUCAAACAUGCAAGUCGAGCGGGGCUAUGUAAUAUCGCAAGGUAGAACAUAGCCUAGCGGCGAACGGGUGAGUAACACGUGGGUAACCUGCCUGGAAGACAGGGAUAACGAUUCGAAAGGGUCGCUAAUACCUGAUAAUAUCCUUUCAUCGCAUGGUGAUAGGAAGAAAGGGGAAACCCGCUUUCAGAUGGGCCCGCGUCCCAUCAGCUAGUUGGUAAGGUAAAGGCUUACCAAGGCGACGACGGGUAGCCGGUCUGAGAGGAUGUACGGCCACACUGGGACUGAGAUACGGCCCAGACUCCUACGGGAGGCAGCAGUUGGGAAUCUUAGGCAAUGGACGAAAGUCUGACCUAGCGACGCCGCGUGAGGGAAGAAGGCCUUCGGGUUGUAAACCUCUGUCAUGGGGAAGAAGUAAGUGACGGUACCCCAAGAGGAAGCCCCUGCUAACUACGUGCCAGCAGCCGCGGUAAGAGUACU
rnacentral:rRNA from 1 species